rnacentral:rRNA from 1 species
CCGGCGACCGGCGCACGGGUGAGUAACACGUAUGGAACCUGCCCGCAGCAGGGGGAUAAGCGGAAGAAAUUCCGUCUAAUACCGCGUAACAACGUUGGGAGGCAUCUCCCGAUGUUUAAAGAUUUAUCGGCUGCGGAUGGCCAUGCGGCGCAUUAGCUAGUCGGCGGGGUAACGGCCCACCGAGGCGACGAUCAGUAGCCGGCCUGAGAGGGUGGACGGCCACAUUGGGACUGAGACACGGCCCAAACUCCUACGGAAGGCAGCAG